rnacentral:lncRNA from 1 species
GUCCACUUUUCCUUGUACGAGGCGCCGACCCACAAGGAGGCCACGCUUCCGUCCUCUUGCGGCGUCAACUGUUUGCCGCUGAUGGGCGACACCAGUGUGAUCAACUGCGACAGAGGCUGGGCCGACGGCGUCGGCGACAGCGAGGGCGUCACCGACGGCGUGGGCGACCUCGACGGCGAACGCGUGGGUGUCGCCGACGGGGCCGCCGGGUGGUCGUAUUCAAUGAUCACGCCGCCAGACGCACCGGGCGAGUCGGCAGAGUGUUUGCCGGCGAGAUCGCCGCCGAUGCACAGAAUGGCCGAGCCACCGCCCGAGCCACUGUUGGCCGCCGGAUACGUGGGUGUACUGAUCUGACCCGGACCGCCGUUGCCAUUCAGGCCGGCGGCGCCGCCCCAUGCAAAACACCCAUCGAUGCUGUAGCCAUUGCCGCCCACCCACGAGCGACCGGGCGAGGUCCAAUUGGCACCGCGCACAAACGGCGCCGUGAAAUCGCCGCCGACAAAGCCAUAACCGGCACCGGCACCGCCCGCCUUGACGUCGUCGACCAUAGCGCCCUCGGUGGACGGACCCACGGGGUUGUUGUCGACGCCACCCGGUGGGACGCCGCCGCCAGGCGUGGGACCGGCAGCCUGGGAAUCUUGUCCGCCGCCGGCGCCCCCUUGGCAGGCGCGCGUCUGGCCCGUUCCACUGGCCUUGGCACCGCCGCCGCCAUAGGCCACGGCACGGAACAAUUCGGUGCCGUUGGGCGCCGUCGCCACCACAAGUGUGUUGCCGCCAUUGCCGCCCGUGCCGCCAUAGAUGGUCGUUGUGGGAUUGUUGGCCAAACCGGCGCCGCCUGCGCCGACGGUCACAUUCCACUGCACGCUGCUCGCCGCCAGGCCCCAGGCGUCGCUGCCCGUGGCGCGGCCGAUGAUGGCGGCGCCGCUGCCGCCGCUGGCGCCACAGUACAUCGAGGUCGCACCGCCGCCACCGCCGCCCCACAGCGUGAGGGUGACAUUGGUGGCUCCGACCGGCGCCGACCAUGUCUGCGUCGUGCCCACCAAAAUGGUAUAGUGGUAGGCGUCGGUCGUGACUGCCGCCAUCAGGAGGAACCAUGCGACAAAGAGCGCCAUUGCGCGUACGUGCCCUUUCGCCAUCUUUUUUUUUCUAGAGGAAAAAAAGAAAGAAAAGCGGUUGCCUUGGUGUCGGC